rnacentral:rRNA from 1 species
CCGCCCCGAAUUGUAGUCUAGAAAGGCGCCAUCGGCCGCGCUCGUCGCUCAAAUCCCUUGGAACAGGGUAUCGGAGAAGGUGAGAAUCCUGUACCGUGGCGAUCCGCGGCCGCACGAUGCGCCCUUGCAGAGUCGGGUUGCUUGGGAUUGCAGCUUGAAGUGGGUGGUAAAUUCCAUCUAAAGCUAAAUACUGGCUCAUGACCGAUAGCGAACAAGUACCGUGAGGGAAAGAUGCAAAGAACUUUGAAAAGAGAGUUAAAGAGUGCUUGAAAUCGGAGUGAGGAAACCCGGUUGCGCCCGGUUUGCGCCGUCGACUCAGCCGUCUCGAAGCGGUGCACUUUGUCGGCGCGGGUCCGUCGCGACUGGCGGCGUUUCACAAUCACCAGGGGUGCUUCGGUGAGCCUGGACAUGUGCGCUGCUGGUCCCGCCGGACAUAACGGGCGCAACCGACCCGUCUAGAAACACGGACCAAGGAGUCUGACACGGAUGCGAGUACCUGGGUGGCAAGCCCACGUGCGCAAUGAAAGUGAAGGGCGUGCCCCGCCAACCGACCUUGAUCUUCUGUGAAGGGUUUGAGUCGAGCAUCACUGUCGGGACCCGAAAGAUGGUGAACUAUGCCUGAGGAGGUUGAAGUCUGCCGAAAGGCAGAUGGAGGGCCGUAGCGAUACUGACGUGCAAAUCGUUCGUCGAACUUGGGUAUAGGGGCGAAAGACUAAUCGAACCAUCUAGUAGCUGGUUCCCUCCGAAGUUUCCCUCAGGAUAGCUUGGACGCAAGGGUUUUGU